rnacentral:misc_RNA from 1 species
GUUCUUGUUGAGUCGACGGAGUAAUCCACUGAGCCUAUCGAUAAUCUUGCCAACGCAAGGGAUAUAAUCUGAAAAGAAGAAUCCAGCAAACAUGGCUUGAGUUUCGCUGACGAGCCUUGUGAGCCUAUCUUCAACAUCACAUCUCUUGCCAGUGGCAGCUCUAAUUGUUACAUUGUUUCCAAGUGCGAGCAUUGCUUCCGACAAGUUGAAAGGCUUAGAAGCAGCUGCUGAUUUGGAAAUGUUGUUCACCAAGCGAGAAACCUCAUCCUCUCUUAUGGGACGGAAGGUGGAGGAUCGAAUUGAGUUGAAGAGAUGAACCACUGUAAUUUUUCUAAUCUCCCUCCAAUAAUCAUCAUAGGGUGAAAAAACCACGUCUAAACCAUUGUAUGAGAGCUUGUGAGAGCCCACCAAGGCAGGUCUACUGCAGAAAUUAAGAUCAUAGGUUUUCAUAAUGUCUUUAGCCAAUUUUGCAGAAGUUACUACAAUGGCUGGCCUAGUUCCCAUUCUCAAGGUCAUGAUGGGGCC